rnacentral:rRNA from 1 species
AGUUUGAUCCUGGCUCAGAUUGAACGCUGGCGGCAGGCCUAACACAUGCAAGUCGAACGGUAACAGGAAGAAGCUUGCUUCUUUGCUGACGAGUGGCGGACGGGUGAGUAAUGUCUGGGAAACUGCCUGAUGGAGGGGGAUAACUACUGGAAACGGUAGCUAAUACCGCAUAACGUCGCAAGACCAAAAAGGGGGACCUUCGGGCCUCUUGCCAUCGGAUGUGCCCAGAUGGGAUUAGCUAGUAGGUGGGGUAACGGCUCACCUAGGCGACGAUCCCUAGCUGGUCUGAGAGGAUGACCAGCCACACUGGAACUGAGACACGGUCCAGACUCCUACGGGAGGCAGCAGUGGGAAUAUUGCACAAUGGGCGCAAGCCUGAUGCAGCCAUGCCGCGUGUAUGAAGAAGGCCUUCAGGUUGUAAAGUACUUUCAGCGGGGAGGAAGGGAGUAAAGUUAAUACCUUUGCUCAUUGACGUUACCCGCAGAAGAAGCACCGGCUAACUCCGUG